UCCGGAGGGUGCAAUCGUUACUCGGAUUUACUGGGCGUAAAGCGCGUGUAGGUGGUCUUAUAAGUCUGGUGUGAAAUCCCGGGGCUCAACCCCGGAAGUGCAUUGGAUACUGUAAGACUAGAGUGCAGGAGAGGAUGGCGGAAUUCCAGGUGUAGAGGUGAAAUUCGUAGAUAUCUGGAGGAACAUCGGAGGCGAAGGCGGCCAUCUGGACUGCAACUGACACUGAGACGCGAAAGCGUGGGUAGCAAACAGG
rnacentral:rRNA from 1 species